AGGACGAACGCUGGCGGCGUGCCUAACACAUGCAAGUCGAACGGAACUCAACUAGUGGCAACACCAGAGAAGAUCUAGUGGCGAACGGGUGAGUAACACGUGAGCAACCUACCCCGAAGAUUGGGAUAACACCGGGAAACCGAUGCUAAUACCGAAUACCCCCACCGGGUCACAUGGCCUGAUGAGGAAAUGGGUUUCUGCUUCGGGAGGGGCUCGCGGCCUAUCGGCUUGUUGGCAGGGUAAUGGCCUACCAAGGCAACGACGGGUAGCUGGUCUGAGAGGACGACCAGCCACACUGGGACUGAGACACCGGCCCAGACUCCUACGGGA
rnacentral:rRNA from 1 species